rnacentral:rRNA from 1 species
UACGAAGGGGGCUAGCGUUGCUCGGAAUUACUGGGCGUAAAGCGCACGUAGGCGGCUCUUUAAGUCGGAGGUGAAAUCCUGGAGCUCAACUCCAGAGCUGCCUUCGAUACUGAAGAGCUCGAGUCCGGGAGAGGUGAGUGGAACUGCGAGUGUAGAGGUGAAAUUCGUAGAUAUUCGCAAGAACACCAGUGGCGAAGGCGGCUCACUGGCCCGGUACUGACGCUGAGGUGCGAAAGCGUGGGGAGCAAACAGG